UGAAUUGCUAGUCACUACAUCAGACCAGUGGCCUCCUCCAACAUAGGCGGCUGAGAGAAAUCACCUGCGUUUGGUACCCUCUCCGAAAUGGCUCAUCAAGCACAGCGAAUGACAAGAUUGGAGAGAGGAGGUGGGAAACCUAUCCCCGGAUGGCACAGCUGAGACAGAGGUAGGAAGAAGGGGAUCCGGCUCAUUUAUUUCCCUUUCAUUAGGCCCCUGAAAAAAAUAAAGACUGAGGAUUUAAUUGCACUGUUUGCUUCUAUCUCUAGAAAAGCUGAAUUAGUAAUUGCAUUAACUUGUUACUAAGCUUUGCUCUUAUGGGGUAAUAUAAUUCUAACUACUGCUUCCUAAUUAUAGGGUUUUCAUUAUUCUGCAAAUCCCAUUCAGCAUGUGUUCCAUUUUCACUUUUAUGAAGUGCUUCGUGGGAAAAUGGGGGCUGUGUCUUUGAAGGACCCAAGCUGAGCUGAAGCUGUGUCUUGCCCAAAGCCAUUACCUCCUGUGAAAAGCAGGGCGCCACUGUGAUUUUUAUCCUCCUUUGAUAAAUAAUGCUGUUGGCAAAGACCAUAUGCUCUGUCACAUGCUGAAGUUUGGUGGCACGGCACAACAGAGGGUAAUCACAUCAAGUCAGUCAUGGUUUUAUUGGGUGGUGGUAAUGGCAGAAGUAAUGAUAGUCAUUAAAAUCCUGCUGCAAAUGGCCUUGGGCCUUCAGACCACAGUUAACUCAGGAUAUGUCAAGGACAGUUCACUCCCAAAAGCUGUCUGGAAGGGAUUGCCCAUUAUUCCUAUUGUUUCCAAGGAGAGCUUUGCAUUUGAGAAUUACAGAUCCAGCAGAAGGCAGAGGUGGACCUUGGAUCUUCACCUUCUCUUGCAUCUACACUAUGAUGUUUUUGAUACUUCCAGAAGAUCUCCCUUGGGGGGAAUCAACAUGGAAACAUACAAAAUGGAGUUCAUUCGUGGAAAGAUGGCAAAUGGCUUUCCUACGUAG
rnacentral:lncRNA from 1 species